rnacentral:rRNA from 1 species
UACAGAGGGGCAAGCGUUGUUCGGAAUUACUGGGCGUAAAGGGCGCGUAGGCGGCCUGUUAAGUCGAACGUGAAAUCCCCGGGCUCAACCCGGGAACUGCGUCCGAUACUGGCAGGCUUGAAUUCGGGAGAGGAUGCGGAAUUCCAGGUGUAGCGGUGAAAUGCGUAGAUAUCUGGAGACACCGGUGGCGAAGGCGGCAUCCUGGACCGAGAUUGACGCUGAUGCGCGAAAGCCAGGGGAGCAAACGGG